rnacentral:tRNA from 1 species
GGCUGGCUAGCUCAGUGGAUGAGAGUCAAGCCUAGAGGUGGGAGGUCGUAGGUUCGAAUCCGGCGUCAGCCA